rnacentral:rRNA from 1 species
CCCUUAGAUGUUCUGGGCCGCACGCGCGCUACACUGACUACUUCAACGAGUUGUUUCCUUGAUCGAAAGGUCUGGGUAAUCUUUGAAAGGUAGUCGUGAUGGGGAUAGAUCCUUGCAAUUUUUGAUCUUCAACGAGGAAUUCCUAGUAAACGCAAGUCAUCAGCUUGCAUUGAUUACGUCCCUGCCCUUUGUACACACCGCCCGUCGCACCUACCGAUUGAAUGGUCCGGUGAAUCUUUAGGACUGUGGCUGAGGCCUUGCCUUGUGCGGGUCUGGCCGUGGGAAUUUAGUUAAACCUUAUCAUUUAGAGGAAGGUGAAGUCGUAACA